AAGAAUUUAUGAUACAACGUAACAUGUUUGCCUUUCUUGAAGAUGCACAUAAUCGCAGGAGCACUAGUAAUAAAUCAAAUAAAUGUUUACUGGUUCAUUCAAUCUUUUAGGGAAUUUCAGCCACUUGCCAUCAUUUGAGUGACACAUAUAAGAAACAUCAAAGUUCACAUUUAUGCUGUAACAUGAUGAACCACCAUGAAGAUUUAUUGAACUUAUGAGUUUGUUAAUUUAUAGCAACCACACGGGUCUCCCAAAAAAUUAUU
rnacentral:misc_RNA from 1 species